GGACUUCCUGAGUAAUGGCGAAUGAACAGGAAAUUGCACAGCAUGGAAAACAGAGCCUAUGGCUUUGAUUUGUAGUGUGGAUAUGCAUUGCCAACAAGGGUGCAGAUAUAAGCCUCUUGGAACAGAGCACCAUUGCAGGUGAGAGUCCUUGUCGAUUGUUUGCAACCCCUUGUGCACGGUGUGCACUGUGAGAGUCACGUUCCUCGGGAUUGGAGCGCAAAGUGGGUGGUAAGCUUCAUCUAAUGCUCUGUAUGUGUUCGAGACCAAUAGCGCACAAGUACCAUGAGGGAAAGAUGAAAAGGACUUUGGAAAGAGAGUUAAAAGUGACUGAAAUUGCUGAAUGGGAAGCAGAGGAAAUCAAUCAAGCUGAGCAAAUAUUGCACACUUCUUGCAAAGCAGUUCCAAUCCAAUGCAAAUGGAACCGAAUUGUGCUAUGCAUUGAGUGUGGUGUCAUUUUCUUUGUCUGUUAUUUGCAAUUCUCGAUUGAUGAAUCUUGUAGCAUUGUGCGACCCUUUUUUCGGGAAGGUGAUGACUUGCUGCAAAACCCGCUUGGGAAUUGUUUGAGCAUUGUUCGAAUGCAAUUUGCACCUAGCCUCAGAUCAUUUAUGUUUCCGUUGCUGUGUGCAGCUGCACGCUUGAACAAGCAGACUGACAACAUGAUUUCAUCUGACCCGUC
rnacentral:rRNA from 1 species